UGGGGAGCCUGAAUGCUCUGCCCUAGGUCACUCCAUCUGCAUUGCUCAGGCUCAAACUUGCCUGACUGAGAAACUCAUCCUUCUGAACAAGUUGCACAAGAGCCCUCACACAGUCUGGUAUACCUGAGACAUACUGUGGAUGUAUAGAGCAUGCUGAGAUUGUGAAGAGGUGAGAAAUUCUGUGUACAUCUAAAGCACAAAUGAAUAUGAAGCAACAGGAGGGUGGAACUUGGAUGGUUCCAUGAUAGGAUGUCCCUGGAGGGAUGGAAGGACUGUGAUCUGUGGAAAAAAAGAUGGUGACAAGGGGCAGCUGCUGUAGAGGGGAUGAAGUGAACUGCCGGUUGGACCUUAAAGGGGAUGGAAAGAGCCUCCUAUGGACCAGAGAGGAUUAAAUUUGCUGCAUUUCAGACAGGUCUUAAUUUUAAGCAACCCUGGAGUUGAUGACAUGCGUCCAAGGACACAGCAGAAACUGUUUAGAAAGAUUCUUCUGCAACUGGAUUGGGAGGGAAUGAGGGUCUGGAAAGGAAAACCUUGAAUAAAUUGCCUCAGCAGAAAUGUUAUUAGAUAUGGAUUUAAGUAAUGUGAUUACCAGUGAGUGGUAAUUUUGAAGUAUCUGUGUGGGAACUGCUUGAGGAAUCAUUGCACUACUGAAAUCAAACCAUGAUUCAGAUUUAAACCUAAUCUUACUCUAACCUAUCGUGAAUAUUAUCAACACCUUUCUAUCCCUUCUGAAAAUAAAUGAAGACGACAAGAAAUAAUUCCCCAAGGAUUGGAAUCCAUGGUAUCAGCUGCUCCUCUUCGAGGGAACUUUGAAACCUGGCCUUGCAGAAAAUUAUCUCCUUCCUUCCAGUCUUUCUCAGGUUGCUAUUGCUCACUGCGUUACUAGAAUUGGUCAUAAAACUGAGCCUUUUAGGAGGAGAGUUUCAUCCUAACCUGCAGAGCACUAGAGAAAAGCCCUGAUUUAUGCUGUUCCAUACAGAACGAUCUGUAAAGGUUGUUCAGCUGCUACUGAGAAGAAUUGAAUGUUUGGAAAGGACUUCAAUCCACCUGCUGUCAGAGACUCUGCAUAUCUCACGGCCUUCUGACUGAUCCAAGCUAUGCUGUUCACGCAUCAGGAAUAAGGAAAAGGUUUCAUUUGGAAACUGGCACUGGAGAGGAACUGAAGGGCUGCUGAUGGAAGAGCUGUGGCUUCAACUACCGUCCCAAUGGAUGUCCUGUGCCCAGUGCUGUGCCCAGAAGCGAAGUUACCACGGCUGACACAUUCAUCUGCUGCCAAUCUGCUCAGUGCCUGGAGAGAGCAGGCGCGGGAGUCAUGAAGCAUCUUUCAGUUGCUGCUGGGAAUGUCCCACCAGCAGCAUGGGGCGGCUCAGAGAUGGCUGCGGGGCACCGAGGGUCUGCAGGGAGGAAUCCUGAGCUUAUCCAGUAAAUGACAGCUACCGUGAGGGCGAGGGCUGGAGGGGAAACCAAGAUAAACUGUAUCCACCAACCCCCUGGCAUUUGCGUGAAAAGCCUCCCACGUCCAAGAUCUGCUCUGCCUCUUAAAAUGUACAUAGCUGCUUCAGGAGAGAAACCAGGCCCUUGAACAAGAAGGAACGAGAGAUGAUUCAUUAGGAAAAGGAAAGGAAUGUGGGUUUGCAGCGUGGCAAGAAAAGACUGUGACCCCCUCAGCUGCUCUGCACAAAGCAAUC